rnacentral:lncRNA from 1 species
UGCACAUGUCUCUGUUCACAUUACAUUUCAGUUAUCUCACUGAAUUUCCUUCUCAAAUUAGACAGUCAUAUACUUUCUGCACAGCGUCUAGAGGUGAAGGCUCUUGGUCACACGGAAGUUGCCCCUAGGGAACUUCAUUCUGCGGGUUCUCACAAGACUCUCGAAUAUAACAUCCAUGGAAUGAAGAAGUGCCAAUAAAUGAUAACCUUGAAGAAAAUAUUGUCACUGCUAACAUCCAAGAAGGACAGGACAACUCUGGUCAGCCAAUCAGAACGUGUUAGAAGCAGUAGCAAGUCGAACUGGCCAUCUGGCUGCAGCCUAAAAAUGAAAACCAACUAUUUUAAUCUGCUGUCUCUGCUCUAGGCAUCUCACCC